rnacentral:lncRNA from 10 species
AGUUUAUCCAUUCCCGUUUUGGUUUCGCAGCUGUCAUCCGGUCCCAACGCCAGAAUAGGAGAAAAACCUGCAGGCUAAGAGAGAAGGGAGGGCUGGGCCUGAGGUUCAGUCUUGGUCAUCUCCGACUGGCGGCGCUAGGAUUUCCCCCUUCCUGUGUCUUGAUGGGUUCCUCCAACACUCACUUUGUAUCGAUAAACGACCCUGCAGUUCUUCACGACCUGCAUUGCGCUGGCAGUCCUGAGUGAAGAACUCUCCUCUCAUCCCAGAGAUGGGAAACCUGGAUCUGAGACUGCCAGCUAGCUGCGGCCUCCUAGUCUGUAAAGCGAAGGGAGACCAGGACGCUCCCAAGGACCCGGCUUAUCGCCCCUCCCUUUCCUUCCCGGGGACCCAGAACAGACCACAAGACGGAGGGUGGCCGCUGGAGGUCGCCGUGGCCCCGCGAUACCACCAACCGACAGAAAUGGAGAACAGUUGAUUCAGAUUCAGCUGAUAUUCUCAGGUCUGGAGCGGGCCUGAGCGCUUUAAUUAGCCCGGGGCUAAUGUCCUCACCCAUCUUUGUUUAUAGAACGUUGAAACUCCAGUACUGUUGCCAGGAGAAGUGCCCCAAAUUUCUAAUCCCUUAAGCCAGGACCUUGGUAGCCCUGAGGUGUGAUGGGAGACUCUGGACAGAACCACCUGUUGACCUAUCCAGGACCCAAAUAUGCACCACAGCACCAAGAAGUUUCCGGUCCCGGUACAGAUCAGUGAGGAAGAGGCUAUUGACAAGUGUGGAUUUGCCCAGGCCAGACUCUCCUGAGAGGAGAGAGGACAGAGGCACCAAAUCAGAAGAAAUCUGACUGAAAACAAAUGGUUGAAUGUGCUGCUAACAGAGAGGGCCAAACGAUGAUGUCUAUUGUGGCAGCUGAACAAAGUGAGACUUACAGAACUGGAACUGCUGCCCUGACAGCAACUGAAGCAGAAAGAGAAGAAAGGAGCUUACAACCAGGACACUCAAACUCAGGCCAGGAGUCCGUCUAUGAUCCAAUUCCAAUCAGUCUGACAAGUCACUCUGAUCCAGCACGAUUAUCCUAUGCACAUGUUUUUUAAAGAACAAAAAAGGAAGUUUCGAGUUGGUAUGUGUGUUUUUUAAAGACACAAACCACAUCCUCUUUCUAUUCAAUUAAAUUCAAGGGAAAGGAAUUUUGGUCUUUAUAAUCAAGGGCGAUUAUAACCAACAGUGUGUCAUGGAAAUGCAAAAUGACUACAGAGCAAUUGACAGCAGCAUCUUCUGUAUUCUCUCCAUAUUAAACCUGUUCUUUUUUUUUUUUUGAGACGGAGUCUUGCUCUUAUCCCCCAGGUGGAGUGCAAUGGCGCGACCUCGGCUCACUGCAACCUCUGCCUUCCGGGUUUAAGCGAUUGUCCUGCCUCAGCCUCCUGAGUAGCUGGGAUUACAGGUGCCUGCCACCAUGCCCGGCUAAUUUUUGUAUUUUUAGUAGAGACGGGGUUUCACCAUGUUGGCCAGGCUGGUCUCGAACUCCUGACCUCAGGUGAUCUGCCCGCCUCGGCCUCCCAAAGUGCUGGGAUUACAAGUAUGAGCCACCGUGCCUGGCCUAAAACUGUUCUUAUGCUGACUCUAUCACUUAUUGAAUCAAAGUUGGCAUUAAUUUCACUUUAUAGUUUAAUUAACUAUAAACACUAACAUUUUAAAAAUUAAGCAACUUUGUCUAAAUUGGAGUCUUUGUCAUUAAUGUGUAUUUAGACACUGGUAAAUGUUUUUAAGUCUGCUUCUGUUGUCUAUAAACAUGAC